rnacentral:rRNA from 1 species
GAGGAAUAUUGGUCAAUGGACGAGAGUCUGAACCAGCCAAGUAGCGUGAAGGAUGAAGGUUCUAUGGAUUGUAAACUUCUUUUAUACGGGAAUAAACGGAUCCACGUGUGGAUUUUUGCAUGUACCGUAUGAAUAAGGAUCGGCUAACUCCGUGCCAGCAGCCGCGGUAAUACGGAGGAUCCGAGCGUUAUCCGGAUUUAUUGGGUUUAAAGGGAGCGUAGAUGGGUUGUUAAGUCAGUUGUGAAAGUUUGCGGCUCAACCGUAAAAUUGCAAUUGAUACUGGCAGUCUUGAGUACAGUUGAGGUAGGCGGAAUUCGUGGUGUAGCGGUGAAAUGCUUAGAUAUCACGAAGAACUCCGAUUGCGAAGGCAGCUUACUAACCUGUAACUGACAUUGAUGCGCGAAAGUGUGGGUAUCAAAC